rnacentral:rRNA from 1 species
AACGAACGCUGGCGGCGCGUCUUAAACAUGCAAGUCGAACGGCCGGAAGGGGCUUUCCCCUUCUGAGAGUUACGGACUGGUGAGUAACACGUGGGUGACAUACCUUUUUGUUGGGGAUAGCUAUUAGAAAUAGUAGGUAAUACCGAAUGUGACCGUACCUGUUCGAGGGGUACGAGGAAAGGAGCUAAGGCUUCGCUAAAAGAAUAGCUCGCGGCCCAUUAUGCUCGUUGGUGAGGUAACGGCCCACCAAGGCGAGGAUGGGUAUCCGGCCUGAGAGGGUGAACGGACACAUUGGGACUGAGAUACGGCCCAGACUUCUACGGGAGGCAGCAGUUAAGAAUAUUCCGCAAUGGACGAAAGUCUGACGGAGCGACGCCGCGUGGAUGAAGAAUGCCGAAAGGUUGUAAAAUCCUUUUAAGCCUGAUGAAUAAGCACAGAAGGGAAUGAGUGUGCGGUGACGGUAGGGAUUGAAUAAGCAACGGCUAAUUACGUG